UGGCAAGUGAAACAAAUGAUGCAUGGUGCAUUUCUACCCUAAAUAGACUUAAAGAAGCUUUGCCAUUGAACUUGAAGGUUUCCCUGAGAUCAAUACGAGAGGGUAGAUUUUAAACUCUUGACCAGUGCUUGUUGCAUGAGUACCAUACGACUUUACAAGCAAAAUCUAAGCAGAUUUCUAGUGACUUUUGUGAGGCACAUUUGCAAGCUGAGAAUGAAAAGUCUAAAGAAUCAGCAAUUAGAGCUUUCCAAUCCAUAUUUGGGAAAGAGAAGGCCAGGGGAGUGCGAUGUGAUGGAAGAGUUACCACACCAACUUUGUUGAAGAAAAAUGAAGAAAUUGUCAACCUUAGGGUAUACUAUUAUGGUGGUUUGAAAAAUGAUGAUGAUAUAAGUAAAAGCAGUUAUGACCUAGACUACUAUUAUUUUACAAUGAUGAUAUAAUGCGAUUGUAGAUCUUACCACAAUUUUUAUAAGUCAAAUUUGAU